ACAGUGUCUGGUGGGUAGUUUGACUGGGGCGGUCUCCUCCUAAAGAGUAACGGAGGAGCACGAAGGUUGGCUAAUCCUGGUCGGACAUCAGGAGGUUAGUGCAAUGGCAUAAGCCAGCUUGACUGCGAGCGUGACGGCGCGAGCAGGUGCGAAAGCAGGUCAUAGUGAUCCGGUGGUUCUGAAUGGAAGGGCCAUCGCUCAACGGAUAAAAGGUACUCCGGGGAUAACAGGCUGAUACCGCCCAAGAGUUCAUAUCGACGGCGGUGUUUGGCACCUCGAUGUCGGCUCAU
rnacentral:rRNA from 1 species